GGUUGUCCAGGUUUGAACCCCUCAAUAUUAAAAGCCCAGACAACCCCUUUAAUAGUGCCCCCAGUAAUAGUAAUGCCCCAUCAGUGCCUCCCAGUGUUAAUAAUGCCCACAUUAGUGCUCCCACUAAUAUUAUUGCCCUAAUUAGUGCCCUCCUGAAUUAAUAAUGCCCCCAUUACACCCCCCAGAAUUAAUAGUGCCCCCAUUAGGGCCCCCAGAAUUAAUAGUGCCCCCAUUAGGGACCCCCAUUGUGAGAACAGCCGAGCAUGUUUGCAUGCUGGGAGUUGUAGUUUCACAGCAUCUGGAGUGGCAAAGGUGGCUGAUCCCUGCACUAUAUAAUCAAUCAAGUCUAAUAGGCUUUGAAUCAAAGAAAUAGACCUUAGUGGCAAGUUAUUGGCUCCAAAGGCAGCUCCAUUAUUUUCUUUCUCCUGGACCUUUGGGGCCCACUAUGGUAUCAGUGCCUGGGCCCACCAGAGGAUCCUCUGGUAUUUUGGCGGACCAGUCUGACCUUGCAGUUAAGGGCUGUUUCAGAUGAG